UCGGGUGGGCACUCUAGAGAGACUGCCGGUGACAAACCGGAGGAAGGUGGGGAUGACGUCAAGUCAGCAUGCCCCUUACGUCUUGGGCUACACACGUACUACAAUGCUACGGACAGAGGGCAGCAAGCAUGCGAGUGCAAGCUAAUCCCGUAAACCGUGGCUCAGUUCAGAUCGCAGGCUGCACUCGCCUGCGUGAGGAGGAAUCGCUAGUAAKUGCAGGUCAGCAUACUGCAGUGAAUUCGUUCCGGCUUGUACACACCGCCCGUCACACCAUGGGGCAACGCCCAUUACCCCACUUUUCGGAGAGGGGGGAAUAUCGAAAGCAAUCAGCAAAUAGAUAUAGAGAUGGUCAUUCCUAGGUCGGUCGCAGGCAUUUGUUCUUGGCUUUCAAACUAUGAUUUGCUUUGUAAAAGAUAUGGGCUAUUAGCUCAGGUGGUUAGAGCGCACCCCUGAUAAGGGCGAUGGCCCUGGUUAGAGUCCAGGAUGGCCCACCUGAAUG
rnacentral:misc_RNA from 1 species